rnacentral:rRNA from 1 species
UACGGAGGAUCCGAGCGUUAUCCGGAUUUAUUGGGUCUAAAGGGUGCGCAGGCGGAAUAUUAAGUCGGCGGUGAAAGUUUGCAGCUUAACUGUAAAAUUGCCGUUGAUACUGGUAUUCUUGAGUGUAUAUGAAGUAGGCGGAAUUUGUAGUGUAGCGGUGAAAUGCAUAGAUAUUACAAGGAACUCCGAUUGCGAAGGCAGCUUACUAAAAUACCACUGACGCUUAGGCACGAAGGCGUGGGGAUCAAACAGGAUUAGAUACCCUGGUAGU